UCCAUUCCCUCACUCUGUUGAAUAAGCGCAAGUGUCAUGUUUCGGUGGUCCAUCUCCUGCCCUGGGAUAAUCGCACAUGUGAAGAAAACAGUUUUCCCUCUGAAGCAGGGCACAGGCACAAACAAGAGUUCGGCGUGUGACAGCAUGGGAACUGGUGCUACCCGUUAAUGAGAUGAAGAGUUUGAGGGGGGAUGUCUGGCUUCCUGUGAAGUAAUGUGGAUCCCACUUGAUAUCUCGGUGAGAUUACAAGACAUGCCAUUCGUGACUCAAGUCAACGUUAAUGGCUGAACAUAUCAAGAGGUUUCAGAGCUGGCCAAAGGAUAAUUACUAUGGCACGCAACAUCAACUGCUGUUUUGACUGCGAUGGUCAUAGAGAUGUAAAUCAAAUCAGUUUAUCAGUGAAAUAAUUUUGUAUUUUAAAAGUUUUAAUGUCUUCCUUUGCUUGUGUCCUUUUUGUUGCUAUGAGGAGUUUGACAGGUGCUAGCCAUGAAGUGACUCGUGUGACAGAUCAGAUAAAGGUCAUUACUGGGUCCUAUUCCUCUGCUUGUGUAGUGGGUGUAGCUCAGCUAGUUCGCUAGUGAAGCACAGUGAGGUGCUUUAAAGUGAAGUAUUUUGUGUUUAGCUGACUGGAAACGUUUGUCUAUGGAAUCUUUGGGUGAGUGAGAGGCCUGGGGAUCAAAUCCCACCUCAGAGUCAGGCAAAUCUCCAACUUGUUACUCUUUGCCUUGGCUUUUGAUCUUAAUUGAACAGAUCUGAGAGGCUAAUGAGGUGCAUUGGGCCAAAACGGACUUUCAGGACAAAAAAAGUUCUUUAUUGAGGCUCUGCAAAAUCCCACCCCCCCUACACCAUCACUCUCUGAAAUAACUCCUCCCUCUCUCAUACCUCAUUGCUCUGCUUCUCCUUCUCCAUGGAUUCCUUCUCUCCUUUCUCGCACCCCUCCUCCACAAUCUCUCCGUGUUCUCCAUCUCAAGAUGGCUCCGUUUCCUCCCUCCCCUCCGGCGACUAUUCACGGCGCACCACCCAUGCACGGGACAAGGGGGGACUGGUGUAUGGGGUGGGUGUGGCCUGGACUCAUCUCCGCCCCUUCAUACCCUUCUUCCUGAUCAGCUGCCUGGUGGUGGUGCUGGUGCACCUCAUGCGGGUUAUCAUCUACAGUGGGCCCUUUACCGACCCAUUAUUUUUCAAGAAGUUCCACCAGCGCUGGCCCAGGCCCCACCUGCCACAGAGCCAGACCCUGCAGCCGGACCUCGGCAGCAACAUGACGCAGUGACGCAAGUCCCUUUGGAACCUGGACUGUGUUUUAGGUCCACCCCUUUAGAACUGUGACUAUUUUUGUUCGUCCCUUUGGAACCUUGACUGGAAUUGGAUCUUCCCCUUUGGAAAUGUGACUAUUUUGGUCUGUCCUUUUGGAACCUUGUCUGGAAUUGGAUCUACCCCUUUGGACUGUAACUAUUUUGAUCUGCCCCUUUGAAAUCUUGACUGAAAUUUGGGUUGACUCUUUUGGACUUGUGAAUAUCAUUGGAACCUUGAAUAAAAUUGGGUCUAUCCCUUCAGAACCUUGACUGAAAUUUUGUCCACCCCUUUGGAAUCUUAACUUGGAUUAUAAAUAUUUUCAGCAGUACCAUCUGCAAGGGAUGGAAAAAGUGUGAGCCUGUGGCCCAAAACCUAAAAAUGCUCUGAACCCAGAGGGAGCAAGAGUGGUCUCAGAACCACUUGUAAAACUUAACAUUUUGCUAAAUAUCUCAUCCUCACAAUGUUUAACAAUCUCCUUUACUUUCCUUUUCCUAGAUAUUCAUAAUAAUUAUGAAAAAAAAAUGAUUGAUCCAAUAUGGACACUGGUAAUACAGUGGGUAGGGAAGUAAUGUGACCUAAUCCUAUAGGUUAGCACUAGAAUUAAAUAGCAUAAAAUUAGCCUAAUUUUGCUCUGUUACUUGAACAGCAAUUUGUCUGCUCACUGCAUUACAAGCAUAACAGAGCUCACCUGUGUUUCUCCCUAUUCUUUCAAACACUAUUUGCCUUGUACUCUGAGAGUCUAAUCUGUUUAUUCUUUAAAUGUGGGUGUGCACCCAUCCUCUGUCAGUGACUUUAAAUGCUUAUUAUUAUUUUCUGUUCAUGUACUGUUUGCCUGCGAAAGCGUUUUGUCGGAAAUAUUCGCAUUUUCACGGCUCGUUCAGAAAAUAUUAAUAACUCUGUACACAGUCAUUUGGUGGCAGAUGCCAUCAUUGUUGCCAGAGGCACAGAUCUAAAGUUUAGGUCCUUGGCUGGGUAAGCUCUGUUUACACUGCCAUGAUCCAAGUGGUCAAUGUUCUAGUGGUCUAAAGUUGAGAGCUCAGCCAUCAACAAAAAAUGUUCUGUGUGGCAGAUAAGAAGCCAUUAAUUAAAUGUGUUUCAUGUAAAGGUCAGACUAACAUAGUUGCUGGACUGAAAUCUGAUCAUGGCUGGCAUUAUGGGAUUUGUUCAUGGCCGGUGUUAUGGAAUCUGUUUAUAACUCAUGUUAUGAAAUCUGUUCAUGGGUAGUAUUAUGGAGGAUUUAAAGUCAAACAUAUGCUGAAUAAAAGCAACCUGUGAGUG